rnacentral:rRNA from 1 species
GACGAACGCUGGCGGCGUGCUUAAUACAUGCAAGUCGAACGGACAGGCUCUGCUGUUGCGGGGUGCACGAGAAGCGAACGGUUGAGUAACAGGGGAGUACCCUGCCCUAGACUGUGGGAUAACUUGAGGAAACUAGGGGUAAUAACGGCUAGGAGCUCAUACUGCAUGGUGGGGGUUGGAAAUUUACGGCGGUUGGGGAUGGAAUCGCGGCUUAUCAGCUCGUCGGUGUGGUAGUGACUUACCAAGGUAUUGACGGGUCGCCGGCCUGAGAGGGUGACCGGCCACAUAGGGACUGAGGUGCGGCCCAGACUCCUACGGGAGGCAGCGGUGGGGAAUAUUGCACAAUGGGCGGAAUCCUGAUACAGGGACGCCGCGUGCGGGAUGACGGCUGUCGGGUUGUAAACCGCUUUCGCCUGUGACGAAGCGUGAGUGACGGUAAUGUGUAAAGAAGCACCGGCUAACUACGUG